AGUGGCGAACGGGUGAGUAACACGUGAGUAACCUGCCCUUGACUCUGGGAUAAGCCUGGGAAACUGGGUCUAAUACCGGAUAUGACUCCUCAUCGCAUGGUGGGGGGUGGAAAGCUUUUGUGGUUUUGGAUGGACUCGCGGCCUAUCAGCUUGUUGGUGGGGUAAUGGCCUACCAAGGCGACGACGGGUAGCCGGCCUGAGAGGGUGACCGGCCACACUGGGACUGAGACACGGCCCAGACUCCUACGGGAGGCAGCAGUGGGGAAUAUUGCACAAUGGGCGCAAGCCUGAUGCAGCGACGCCGCGUGAGGGAUGACGGCCUUCGGGUUGUAAACCUCUUUCAGUAGGGAAGAAGCCUUUCGGGGUGACGGUACUUGCAGAAGAAGCGCCGGCUAACUACGUGCCAGCAGCCGCGGUAAUACGUAGGGCGCAAGCGUUAUCCGGAAUUAUUGGGCGUAAAGAGCUCGUACGCGGUUUGUCGCGUCUGCUGUGAAAGACCGGGGCUCAAC
rnacentral:rRNA from 1 species